ACUCAAAUGAAUUGACGGGGACCCGCACAAGCAGUGGAGUAUGUGGUUUAAUUCGAUGCUAAGCGAAAAACCUUACCGAGGCUUGACAUCCCAGGAAUUCCGCCGAAAGGUGGAAGUGCCUUCGGGAACCUGGUGACAGGUGCUGCAUGGCCGUCGUCAGCUCGUGUCGUGAGAUGUUGGGUUAAGUCCCGCAACGAGCGCAACCCUUGUCGUGUGUUACACUUUCACACGAGACUGCCCGGGUAACUGGGAGGAAGGUGAGGAUGACGUCUGGUCAGCAUGGCCCUUACGCCUCGGGCUACACACGUACUACAAUGGCCGUUACAAUGGGCCUGCCAAGCCGUAAGGUGGAGCGAAUCCCAUCAAAAGCGGUCUCAGUUCGGAUUGAGGGCUGAAACUCGCCCUCAUGAAGUCGGAAUUGCUAGUAAUGGCGGAUCAGCAUGCCGCCGUGAAUACGUUCCCGGGUCUUGCACACACCGCCCGU
rnacentral:rRNA from 1 species